ensembl:lncRNA
UUUUUUUUUUUUUUUUGGUUAUAUGUACUUUUUGUGGUGUGUCAGCCUAUAACUGGUCUUGGAAACCCGAUGGGGAAAUCCCAGACAGCCUGAAGCCGAGGGGAGUCUUGCAUUGCUUUCAGCCACCCUGUGAAUUCCAUCUCCCUCAAAACCUUUCUGCUAUGGAGACUAUAUUGCUUUUAGCAGCACCAGACACCGUUCCCAACCACUAGACCACCACAAAAGACAAGACAGAGAAAACGAAGUGAAAGAUUUCUUCAGCUGGACUUCAGCCUUAACUGGCGCGACUGUCCAGCUUUUCACAAGGCCAGCUUGGCAAAGCACCUGGAAAUGUGUGCCUUCAGCCGGGGAGGCAGCCCAAAGCAAGGCCUCCCUGGCCCCGGCCGCUUCCAGCGCACCAUCGGAUGGUCUCGGGCCCGUGGCAAGCACAGGAGCACCGCCAGCAGCGCAGGCACGUGUGGCCCCGCGCACACAGCCCGCUCGCUGCUCCGGCACGGACAGACUGGGGAGCAUCUGUGCUGGGGGGAUACGGAACAAAUAAGUAAUUGCUGUUUUUACUAAGCAAAGCAGAAAAUUACAGCAUAUUAACAGCCAAGCGUGUUUGUCGCCUGGCAAGAACCAUUUGUGUUCCGCUUUGGGCUUUUUUAUUCAUCUGAAGUCUGUGCCUCAAAGCACAUUAAAAACAUUUUAAUUAUUAUUGUGAGUUUAUGUUCUCAUAUGGAUUUAAAGUGUAUAAAUAUUAUGCGAGAUAGGGAGAGAAGAAAGUAAAAUAAAUAAAUUCAAGAAAAUGUUCUGUAUUUUUAGCAGUGGUGGAUGCAGUUCUGAAUUAGCGGCUUAGAAAACAUAUAAUUCUUUUUAGAAUUUGCAUUAAAAAUGUGUCCUGGUUUAUCAGACAAGUGUGUGGCUAUGUGUACGUUCUCUUAGCCACAUUCAGCUCUCUUCAAAAAGACAUCCAGCAGAAUAGCACUCUUUAGGGACAGUGUUUCAGGGUUGACAAGAACAUUAAACCAUAUUAUAAUUAUCUCUUCAAUGAAAACACGGCUUUGUAGUGGAGGCAAUGCACAGUUCUCAAGGCGAGUGUUAUUAGGCUGUAUGUGUUUUCUUGGAAGGAGAUUCAUGGAAAGAAAAAAGCUUUAUAAUUUACUGCAAGGAAAAAAAUACAGAGUACAUGUCAUGCAUAGCAAAAGGGAUUUUACAAAGAAGGCACUAAGUUGAGUGCCUCACUUAUCUUGAAGAAUGCUUCCACAUAAUAAGUGUGGGGAUUGGUUUAACACAAGCUACAAUAUAGAUAUAACAGACACAUACAAUUCCCUGUGACCGUUCAUAUAGAUAACUGCAAAAAAUUGUCUGUAAAGUAAGGUAAAUAUAAACCAAUUGCCUCCUGUGACAUAAAUGGGUUCUGUCUCAUUCUUUGAGAGGUCACCACUGAACAGAAUACAUUCUUAUGGCAGUGCAGAUAAUAAAAUCUGUUAUUCUUAAUGUGAAUACAAGGAUUUUCUAACCCAUUUUCCACAUUCAAGAUACUGUUUUCUCAAAUUAGUCUGAAAUUAUAAAGUAUGAGUUCUGAAACAGCAAGCAAAGUUACAAACUGCACCAAGAAGAUUCUAAUAUGUUCAUAAAUGACAAUAUUUAAUAUGCAUAUCUUACACAUACUAUCUACACAAGCACAUUUCUAUUUAUGUACUCACAUUAAAAAAAUACAAUGGAUUUUUAAAACUUUUGCAAAUGCCUGAAUUAUUUUAAACUGGGAAUUUUCUUCUUGUUUGUGAAAAUGAGAUUGCAACUUUGUUUUCUUUAUUAUGUUGGCAAGUGGAUAGAUUUAAAUUCCUUAAAAUGGAAUGAACUAGAAGAAAUAAACAAAUAAUGUUAACCAACAGUUACAUAUAUCCUGAACAUAGCAAAGACCGACAAUAUUAUGAAAAUCUUGUGUUAAUGGAGAAUUAACUGUAAAGCUGCGGCAUUUCAGUUGUGUGCAGGCAGGUCCAGGCACACACAGGCAUAAACACAAAAGACAACAGCCCCACUAAACAGCUACCAAAAGUUUACCCAACUGGCCUAAUACUAGACAUAACAGCUUGAGCAUUUGUAGGAAAAAAAAGCCAGAAACUCACCAAAUCUUGGUUUUAAAAGCAUGCUAGGUAUCCAGAGAGAGAGCAUUCGGAACAGUCAAUUACUUUCACAUUUUGUCCCAGGACUUUAAAAGUUAAAGGCAUAGUUCUGCCAAUUGUGAGAUGCCCCAUCCAGCACAGACCACCCACAACUACUGAUUUUCCAUCUGGUGAACAAAACAGACAUCUCCCUAAUUAUUUUUAAAAAGGUUUUUUUUUCUAACAUACUUCCUUUAUUUGUCUGUGACCUGGAACUUAAUGGAAAACCUGGUAGAUGCCAACCUCAUUUCUUGUAAUGAAGCAUCUUAUUUUCCCUACUUUAAGCAUGCUUAUUUAAAGGCUAUUUAAUAGAAAGUUAUUACCUAAGCUGAUCUUUGAUAGGACCUAAAUUACUAAAUAGUUUGAAAUUAGAACAACUCUAUAUCGAACCCUAAAUGUUCUAGUUAAAUAUUAACCAUUAAAAGACCUUUCCUUAAAGCGGCAUAUUAAAACAGGAAGCAAUGAGGUUUACAGUCUCAUAUGCUGGGUUCCCAUAUUGCCAGUGUCAAAAUUUAUGCCUUUUUUCAGCAAUAUGGUUGCCAUUGCCAGCACCACACUUAUAAAUGCCAACUGUAAUUAAAAUCUGGCACCUUAUACAAGCAUUAAACAUGCUUACAGAUUAAAAAAAAAAAAAUCUUUAUUCUAAAAUACUCAUUGCAGCAUAUGCAGGCUUAAAAAAAAAGUUCUUCUUCUGCCAGUUUUAGAAACAUCACAGGAAAAAAAAAUCAAGGUCCAAGUUGUCCUGAAAAUCAGUCCAGAGAAACCUAAAUACUGUGCUAAAUUUCAAAGUGGAUGUAUUUGAGGGAGGGAUGGCAAAAUCUGGAUUUUCACUUGAAAGGGGCUGCAAAGAAACAGCAUAUUUAAAAAUCUGGAGCCUUGGCAGACACACAGGGCAGGUAACACAGAGCCUUUAUCCCAGUGCCCUUCACACAGGCGGUUACAGUUCAAUAAAGAUGUAAAGCCUCAUUGCCGUCACGGUGAAUGGCCAAGCAGGGCUGGGGAUCCCACAAUCCAGUAAGAGAGGCUGCAGACAAGAACAGAGGCUGGGAUGAACCCGUAGCCUGUUCAUCAUAAUAGUUUUGGGGAUGUAAACAUGAUCAUCUGGGCUUUUCAUCCCUUAAAUACCCUUCAUUGCUGCACUGCUGUGCCUCCAGUGUGUGAGCACCUGGCUGGGUGGCCAGUUAAGAACAAUUAUUUCCCAGGCUUGUCAGCAAUGGAAGUGAUCAACCUUGGAGAAAAUUGAGAGCUGGGGGAAAUAGGCCAUUCUACCCAGCAAAAUGUCCAGUAUAAAUUACUUUUCCACUUACUAGUGUGCUACUUAUAAGUUACUCAGUUGUCUUAUGGACCAGCAGGAGAUGAGGAACCCAUGUUCAUGGGAGCUCAAAAUGUAAAGAAGUUACCAAGGCACACAGCAGCAGGUGCACAAAUGGGGUGCUGCAGCACCCUGAGAUUGCUUCUUGGUCUGGCAGUACUGCACCAAGCAGUCUGUACUGCUCCAGUCAUUCAUCUUGGCUAAGAGGUGAUGAAGAGUCAUCCAGCCACACUGUCAAGUAAGUUGCUGGAGAAGGACCACCUCUCAGAAACUCAGCACCACCUGGGGACGCUGUGUGGAAUUGCCAAAAUGAUUUUUAAACGGCAACGGAAAGCAGUGUUCUUUCAAAGAAAUUUGAUGACAUGUUAUGAUUUGGCAUUUACAGGAACACCUUCCAAAGUGACCAGUAGAUGGAGAGGAACCAUGGUGGCUCUGCCCCAGCAUUUGGGACACCACUGACCAAAGGCAGCAGGACACAGCAGCGUCUCUGCCGCAAAGGCGUGAUGACCGAGACACUCCAUCGUGUCCUCCGUACCUCAUUCUGCUGGUGCCUGAAGCAAGGUUUAUUCUCCUGAUCCUACCAGCAGAAGAGGUAAUUAAAUUUCAUUGUGGGGUGUCCUGUGCACCAAAUGUUUAUGGACAGGACUGAAAAAUUGUAUCCUCACAUUUUCUUGACAUCGCUUUCUUGGCUGAAUUUCUGAAUCCUUAUGUCAAGUUUGCACUGAUGUUUAUGUUUGCUUGUAGGUACUUCAGCUAUUGAUGACUUUCAGCAGGAUUAAAUCUUUCAAGACACUUUUCUUAAAAAAAAACCUACACUACCAAAAGGGAAACCCUUGAGUUAGAUAAUUAAUUUGAAGCAUGUUUUCCCAUGUAAAGGUUUUAGCUAUUUUUUUAGAGAAAGGUUAAUUCUCAGUUUGUAACCACUAAAGUAUGUUGCUUUGUAACUAAAUAUAGCUUUUGCACUAAAUUUGGCACUUCUUAUUGCUAACCAGAAGGACAGAGUAGCUCUGCUGAUAUAUAGUCAAACUUUUCUAUACCUCAUUAUACAUUUUUUCAGAUUAAUUUUACUGUUUUUAUUAGAAAAUCAUGUAUGGCACAAUUCUUAUUUACUAGUUGAUCUCUUUGUGUUUACUUAGGAUUUAUGUUUCUUUGGAUGAAAACUGGAAAACAAUUUAAAAUGUAAUGAGAUGGUUUAUUGCUUGCAUAGCACUAUCUGAGAGAGGCUGGACUUGCAAAAAAUUCUGAUUAGAUUUAAAAAUUGCUCUAUUAAAAUAACUUGGUAUUAGCUAGAAUUAGCACCAAUCUAGUAUUUGGUCUUAAUAUCCUCCAAUAUUGUAGUAUUAGCAAAACUAAUCCUCUCAUAAUUAGCUUUUAUUCACAUAUUGGUAGAGAAGAACAAGCUUUUCUGCUUCUUUCAACUCCCAAUUGGUCAAGUUUGAAUAAAUUAGUCAUUUAACUGAGCUAAUUGAAUAUAUUGAGGAAAAUAUUCUCUUGGUACUUGCAGAGGAGGCUAUUGAUCUCAA